CGUUCGCUUUGAGUCUCACCAGCAGCUUACCGAGGAGCUCCAUUCGCAACUCCAACAUCCUCUUUCAUCUCUGCCAGCUUCCCCUAUUUCACACUCUCUCUCUCUCUCUCUCUCUCUCUCUCCCUUUCUCUAUAAAUGCCGCUAUAUCGACAUAUAGAGAGAGAGGGUUAUAUAUAGCUAUAUUGAGGGUAGAUGGAGAGAGUGAGGAGGAUGAAGCCUGACUCCGCCAUUAACUCCGGCGUCACCUUCAUCAAUAAAAUCCUCAUCGCCAUGGCUCUUAACGAAGUUCGGUUGCAGCUUUUCCGACGAGAUUUAAAUUCGCUAUGAUCCGGCGUAUGUGUGGGCCACCUGCGAGGUCAGCUUGAAGCAGCUCGACAUUAAUUUCUUAGAUCACUAUUAUCGGCAUCGCGUCGACACUAGCAUCAUCAUCGAAGUCACGGGGCUCUACAGAAGACGGACAGUUGGGAAUCGGCAACAACGAAGAGAAAGAAUGGGUUUGCACAAUGAAAUCUCUUGAGUCCCAAAACGUCCGUUGUGUAGUCACCGGAAGUCGCAAUUCACUCACCGUUUGUGAAGAUUGCAAGGCAACUAUUGGUGGGUGGCGUUGUUUGGCUGUUGAUGAUCAAGGCUGACUUUACGCUUGGGGGGACUAAAGAUAAUUAGAGAAGGUAUUGACUAUUAUCUUGUACGCCAAGGUUAAUUUUAAUGUCAUUUGGGUUCAAGAACACAGUGAAACUGAACAAUUGGUUGUUCAUUGAGUUUAGAAGAGACAUUUCUGGAAAAACAACUUUGGAAGAUGAACCUUCUUUAGGAAUUCUAGACAAAAUACCGAGUGAAAGUUUCUUGGUCCAGAGUCGUUAGCACUGUGAAUUGUUUUUUGAGCUAUUUUAUUUUGUUUCUUUGAAACAAUUAGUAAUGUAGCCUUCUCAAUUACUGUUAUUGUAUUAAUAUUAGACAUUGAAUGUUAAAUCUACUAUUAUUCAAUCAACAACUUGAAGUGUAAUUAUAUUAUUCUUCCUUAGUGACCUUUUAAGUUAUCA